UUGAUUAAGCGCGUCAAAACACAGUGGGUAUGUGCCAGUAUCGGGAGCAUUUGGAGAAUAAAUUAGAAGAAGUGCGAUAGCGCUGAUAGUGCGGCCUGAUUUCCAGCGUAAACAUAGCAUGGAUUAUGCAGAUGAUGAGGCAUCUGUGCAACGAUCUUUUAUUGUAUAUGCCGCGUGAGGUGUUGGAAAACUUUAAAAUCCAAGUUGUCACAUAUCUCCAUGAUGUAAUAUGGGUUUUGACCAGCGACGAUUGAAUAUGAACACGACGACACUUUUAUCCUAACAAGGCCAGUGGUUUUUCUACAUUUGGGGCGAUUUAUGUAGUAUUUCAUGAACUGUCUCUCAUUUUAGGUACUAUAGCAUAUUGUAUGCUAUUUUUCGUUGCUUUUUAAUUUGUGUUUUACAAACUUGUUCCGUUAGUCUGACGCGUGGUUUUUGUGAAAAGUAUUUUAAAGUUUUCGAAAUUGUUCAACUCUAAAUACUGAAGUGCGAAUCAAAUUAUAUAAGGCGGUUUUGUAAAUCCUUUUGAGAUUGAGCCCCUUUUUGUGCUUAGAGUUACGUUUAUUAUUAAUGGCUACAUUUUAUAUAGAGUUUGACGCAUAUUUACGCUUGAGUAUAUUAUAUAUACUAUUGUAAGUAGUUUAACAAUAUUUUUUGAAUUUCUUGCAAGAAAUGGACUUUUCCAAUAUAUGUGUAUCUUCAAUCACUGCAAGUAAACAAGAUGAGACAAA